GAUGAAGAACGCAGCGAAAUGCGAUAAGUAAUGUGAAUUGCAGAUUUCAGUGAAUCAUCGAAUCUUUGAACGCACCUUGCGCCCCCUGGUAUUCCGGGGGGCAUGCCUGUCCGAGCGUCAUUGCUGCCCUCAAGCACGGCUUGUGUGUUGGGCCUCCGUCCGCCUCCCGGGGGACGGGCCCGAAAGGCAGCGGCGGCACCGCGUCCGGUCCUCGAGCGUAUGGGGCUUCGUCACCCGCUCUUGUAGGCCCGGCCGGCGCUUGCCGACACAUCAAUCUUUUUUCCAGGUUGACCUCGGAUCAGGUAGGGAUACCCGCUGAACUUAAGCAUAUCAAUAAGCGGAGGA
rnacentral:misc_RNA from 1 species